AGGAUCUGGGAGAAGCCAAAGAGGAACAGGGAGCCUCGGCAAGGGGAAGAGGAGGCGUCUGUGUGAAGUCUAGCUACACUGUGCUUUACUAAUGGUGGGGAAGAAAGUCAUAGCAUUCACUAGGGAGGAACCUGCUCUGCAGGCGGCCCUUGGAGUGGACAUACCCAAGCCACUGAAGAAAAACAGAUGACCCAGAGGCCUGGAAGACUCUCUCCCUCCCGAAAAUGAUCACAAGCAGUAUUCAUGCAGCAGCCCCGGCGGCGGCAGAGGGACAGGUGCUAUUUUGAGCUGUUUUCAGUAAUUGUUAGUGCCUGCUUCCAAGUUCCUGCCUUGAGUUCCCACCCUGACUUCCUUCCAGAAUGGACUGUGAUGUGGAUGUAGACCAGACCUGUAUUCUUCAUUGCCUGAUCAAUGCAAGGCCUCCCAAGAGUCAAAAGAGAAUGAGGAUGGAAGAUUAUAAAAGGUUCAAUUGCCGGGCGGUGGUGGCGGCGGUGGUGGCACACGCCUGUAAUCCCAGCACUCUGGGAGAAAGAGGCAUUCUGAGUUCGAGGCCAGCCUGGUCUACAGAAUAAAUAAGACCGGAAGACUGGGAACAAUUCAUCUCAGAGUUCCUAAGAGACAAAAGAAGGAAAUGUAGGCACAGCCAGAGUAGACUGUAGUUUCAGGACUGCCUAUGUACAAAGAAAAGGCCAUCACUAGUGUCACUAGUCUGGGGACAAGGCCUCCUGAAGAAACAGAUGGCUUAGGAAGGUUGAGAAGUUUCUUAGACAAGAUGCCAAGGAGCACAAGGGAGAAAACUCCGGGUGGACAGGGCCCCAUGCUGAGCUCAGAUAACAAAGGAGCUGAAGAGGGAAAGAUAUCCCUCAAACCUAAGCCUAACACAGCUCCGCUGAAGAGUACCAGUGACUCCACAGGACAGUGAGUUGGGAAUUACAGGGAUAAUGAAGAAAGCACACUCGGAACUUGAUGCGGGAGCACGAGAAGAGGCGAUUCCAUCCUCUAUGGUGAGCAUUGGGAUGCCGAGUGAGGAAGGCUGGAGGGAAAGUAGAUACUCCUUUAUUUGCUUCCUGUCAAUAAAAACACCCCCAAGUCCGAAGGAAGGGGAAGACAACAGGUCUAAAAGCUGAAGGCCCUUUAAGACAAGGCCGGGUGGUACACAUAGCUGUGCUCCGGCAUUCUCAAUUCCCCAGCCAAAGUGUCUUUCAUCGCCAAGCUUCACAUAAGACGUGGACACAGUGGGCACACUGUUACUCACUGCGAUGACAUGUUUCUCAGGGGUGUCCAUCUGUCUGCGUCAAGAUCCCCCAGAAAUGCUUGGCAAGAGCACAGAUUCCUGCCCACAGCCUCCCCAACU